GGCCAAGUGGCGGAAUGGCAGACGCACUCGACUCAAAAUCGAGCGGGGCAACCUGUGUGGGUUCGAGUCCCACCUUGGCCA
rnacentral:tRNA from 3 species